GCCCAUGUGGUUCAGUGGUUAGAGUGUCCGUCUGGGAACUGGAAGGUCACAUGUUCGAUUCCUGGUCAAGGGCA